GUCGUCAGUCCAUUUCUUUCCUCUCCCUAUUCUUCUCUGUGAAAUCUGAAGAUCUCUGCAGCAAAUUGAAGAGAAUCGCUGUGCUCCUCCGCGGCUAGCGAGAGGAUGGGCGACGCUGCCGAUGGAGAUAUGGUUGCAGAGUUUGUCUGAGCCCUUGCAACCAUGAGAGCAGGGCCAGCGGCAUCAACACAUAUGCCUGGAAGGAAUUCAAAAACGCAGGUGUCUCUGGAAUAUGGACCAGGCUCUACAUUUUUUUCUUGAGGGGGCUCAACAUCUUUCUAGAGGCCACCCACAGGUUAUCUUCAAGGACCCGUUC